UACAGAGGUCCCGAGCGUUGUUCGGAUUCACUGGGCGUAAAGGGUGCGUAGGUGGUGAGGUAAGUCGGAUGUGAAAUCUCCGGGCUCAACCCGGAAAUGGCAUUGGAAACUACCUUGCUAGAGGAUUUGAGGGGGAUUGGAAUACUUGGUGUAGCAGUGAAAUGCGUAGAUAUCAAGUGGAACACCAGUGGCGAAGGCGAAUCCCUGGAAAAUACCUGAACACUGAGGCACGGAAAGCUAGGGGAGCAAACAGG
rnacentral:rRNA from 1 species